AGUGAACGCUGGCGGUAGGCCUAACACAUGCAAGUCGAACGGCAGCACAGUAAGAGCUUGCUCUUACGGGUGGCGAGUGGCGGACGGGUGAGGAAUACAUCGGAAUCUACUUUUUCGUGGGGGAUAACGUAGGGAAACUUACGCUAAUACCGCAUACGACCUACGGGUGAAAGCAGGGGAUCUUCGGACCUUGCGCGAUUGAAUGAGCCGAUGUCGGAUUAGCUAGUUGGCGGGUUAAAGGCCCACCAAGGCGACGAUCCGUAGCUGGUCUGAGAGGAUGAUCAGCAACACUGGAACUGAGACACGGUCCAGACUCCUACGGGAGGCAGCAGUGGGGAAUAUUGGACAAUGGGCGCAAUCCUGAUCCAGCCAUACCGCGUGGGUGAAGAAGGCCUUCGGGUUGUAAAGCCCUUUUGUUGGGAAAGAAAAGCAGCAGGUUAAUACCCCGCUGUUCUGACGGUACCCAAAGAAUAAGCACCGGCUAACUUCGUG
rnacentral:rRNA from 1 species